UGGGGAAUUUUGGACAAUGGGCGCAAGCCUGACCCAGCAACGCCGCGUGAAGGAUGAAGUAUUUCGGUAUGUAAACUUCGAAAGAAUAGGAAGAAUAAAUGACGGUACUAUUUAUAAGGUCCGGCUAACUACGUGCCAGCAGCCGCGGUAAUACGUAGGGACCAAGCGUUGUUCGGAUUUACUGGGCGUAAAGGGCGCGUAGGCGGCAUGACAAGUCACUUGUGAAAUCUCUGGGCUUAACCCAGAACGGCCAAGUGAUACUGUCGCGCUAGAGUGCAGAAGGGGCAAUCGGAAUUCUUGGUGUAGCGGUGAAAUGCGUAGAUAUCAAGAGGAACACCUGAGGUGAAGACGGGUUGCUGGAACAACACUGACGCUCAUGCACGAAAGCGUGGGGAGCAAACAGGAUUAGAUACCCAUGUAGUCCCUGAGCGGGCUGGCAAGGCGCAU
rnacentral:rRNA from 1 species